rnacentral:rRNA from 1 species
UACAGAGGGUGCGAGCGUUAAUCGGAGUAACUGGGCGUAAAGGGCGCGUAGGCGGAUAGAUAAGUGAGAGGUGAAAUCCCUGGGCUUAACCUAGGAAUGUCCUCUUAGACUGUGUAUCUAGAGUGCAGUAGAGGGCAGUGGAAUUUCCGGUGUAGCGGUGAAAUGCGUAGAGAUCGGAAGGAACAUCAGUGGCGAAGGCGACUGCCUGGACUGAGACUGACGCUGAGGCGCGAAAGCGUGGGGAGCAAAC